CUACGACCAUAUCACGCUGAAAACACCGGUUCUCGUCCGAUCACCGAAGUUAAGCAGCGUCGAGCUCGGACCAGUACUUGGAUGGGUGACCGCCUGGGAAUACCGGGUGUUGUAG
rnacentral:rRNA from 1 species